GGAACAGAGUCCAAGUGAGGAGAGUGUCAAGAGCCCUGGAAAUCAGCUUGAGUAUGCCAUGAUUGUUGGAUUUGGCAGGGCCAGCGCUACACACUCACAGCCCAGCAGAGAGACGGCGGUGACCUACACAACUGUAGGUCAUUGCACAGCACAGACAGCAGCUGGGGAAACAGAAUAUGACAUACAUCCAUAUAGCAUAUAGAGCACAUCUGGCAAGCAUGAACCCCUUUGACCUCUCGUAUGUGAAAUCUUUGGGGAGGGACCCAAGUCACACAGUUUGGUGUUGGAGACAAACCUUACCCUGAGCUUCCCCAAAGUUCGGAGGAAUUCAGAUUUGCUAUUCUGGUUGGUCCAUUCUAGAAAUGCUGUUCUAGUCUAUGUAGGUUCUUAUCCCAGUCUCCCCAAAAUAGUAUCUGAGAGCCUUCUAGUAGUGCAUUCAGCAAGAUGACUAACAUCUCUCACGCUUGGUUCAUUCUCUCUCUCAUCUGGCUGGAAAAAUGGAUUUUUUGUCCCACAAAACAUUCUGAGAUUUCCCAGAAUUUUAUCCAGAAUCAGGACAAGCAACCUAAAAUUUUGAAUUUUGUGCAUGAAACAAAAUUUUAAAAAAAGGUAAUUUUGGGUCAACUGAAAUGUUUCAUUUUGAAAAA